GGGGAUUUAGCUCAGUGGCAUAAGCACCUGCCUUGUAAGCAGGCGGUCAUGAUCCCCA
rnacentral:tRNA from 1 species